CCUACGGGUGGCAGCAGUGGGGAAUAUUGCACAAUGGGGGAAACCCUGAUGCAGCGACGCCGCGUGAGUGAAGAAGUAUCUCGGUACGUAAAGCUCUAUCAGCAGGGAAGAAAAUGACGGUACCUGACUAAGAAGCCACGGCUAACUACGUGACAGCAGCCGCGGUAAUACGUAGGGGGCAAGCGUUAUCCGGAUUAACUGGGUGUAAAGGGAGCGUAGACGGCAGCACAAGUCUGGAGUGAAAUCCCGGGGCUUAACCCCGGAAUUGCAUUUGAAACUGUGCGUCUGGAGUGCAGGAGGGGUAAGCGGAAUUCGUAGUGUAGCGGUGAAAUGCGUAGAUAUUAGGAGGAACACCGAUGGCGAAGGCGGCUUACUGGACUGUAACUGACGUUGAUGCUCGAAAGCGUGGGGAGCAAACAGGAUUAGAUACCCGAGUAGUC
rnacentral:rRNA from 1 species